rnacentral:lncRNA from 1 species
GCGGCCAGCGGGGCUGUGGAACCAGGGCCCCCGGGGGCUGCCGUCGCCCCGUCGCCCGCCCCGGCCCCGCCGCCUGCCCCUGAUCACCUGUUCCGGCCCAUCAGCGCCGAGGACGAGGAGCAGCAGCCCACCGAGAUCGAGUCGCUAUGCAUGAACUGUUACUGCAAUGUGAGGCGGGGGCGCGGCCGCGAGCGGCGGGUGGGUAGGGCUUGUGCCGGGACGAGCCGGGGGUCAGACCCAGCCAGGUGGGCCCGGCCGGGGACCCCGAGGAGCGCCCGGAGAUAGUAGGGCGGGGAAAGGGAGUUUCAUUGAUUUUUUUCCUUAGCUACUUUCUACUUCACCAGGGCAUGACGCGCCUCCUGCUCACCAAGAUUCCCUUCUUCAGAGAAAUAAUAGUGAGCUCCUUUUCCUGCGAGCACUGUGGCUGGAACAACACGGAGAUCCAGUCGGCAGGCAGGAUCCAGGACCAGGGAGUGCGCUACACUUUGUCUGUCAGGGCUCUGGAGGACAUGAACAGAGAAGUGGUGAAGACUGACUCUGCUGCCACAAGGAUU